AAAAAUGUCAGUGCCACGAAAGACAAAAGUCGGGAACUGGUACAGCUUACAAGAGACUAAAGAGACAGAGCAACUCAAAGCAAUGAGGGACACAGAAGUGGAUCAUGGAUGAAGAAAAGGACACCACAAAGAAAGCUACUCAGCAACUGAGCACCAUGGUAAUUUCUCUGGGGCAUCUGACCACCUUGAGAGAAAGACAUCAAGUCAUAUGGCCCAGCCAGAGAACUUGAAGCUGAAGCUGGCAGUCUACAAGGCUCACCCAUGGGGUCAGAACUCCUAAGAAGCCUUUUUAGUACCUCACUCCUAAAUGUGAAUAGACCACCAACGAUUGUCAGACAUCUAAGGAAAACCAACUUGAAAGGUGGAGACCAAAAGAAGCAAACAAAAAGCAAUGCAGAAGAAACUCAGCCUGCGAAGGGAUCAGAGAACUAUUAUAAAUAUCCAUAGAGGGAUAAGAGCUGGGAAAAUGGCAAUGGAUUGAUGAGAAAUUCAUGGUGAAAUAGUGACGAAAAUUUUACUCAUUGCUCAGAAAGCACUAAGGAUGAAAACAAGUUGAUGCAGAGAUGUUUUUAAAUGAAGAACUACAACUGAAUAAUAUAUUAACCAUUCUCUUUCCUGUUUCUCCGUUCCCAGUGAAACCAUGCUAAUUCUGUACUUUUCUUUUUCUACUUAAGAAUAUAUCUUUUUAGUGACU